rnacentral:rRNA from 1 species
GAGUUUGAUCCUGGCUCAGAUUGAACGCUGGCGGCAUGCCUUACACAUGCAAGUCGAACGGCAGCACGGGGGCAACCCUGGUGGCGAGUGGCGAACGGGUGAGUAAUACAUCGGAACGUGUCCUGUAGUGGGGGAUAGCCCGGCGAAAGCCGGAUUAAUACCGCAUACGAUCUGUGGAUGAAAGCGGGGGAUCCUUCGGGACCUCGCGCUACAGGGGCGGCCGAUGGCAGAUUAGCUAGUUGGUGGGGUAAAGGCCUACCAAGGCGACGAUCUGUAGCUGGUCUGAGAGGACGACCAGCCACACUGGGACUGAGACACGGCCCAGACUCCUACGGGAGGCAGCAGUGGGGAAUUUUGGACAAUGGGCGAAAGCCUGAUCCAGCAAUGCCGCGUGUGUGAAGAAGGCCUUCGGGUUGUAAAGCACUUUUGUCCGGAAAGAAAACCUCGUGGUUAAUACCCGUGGGGGAUGACGGUACCGGAAGAAUAAGCACCGGCUAACUACGUGCCAGCAGCCGCGGUAAUACGUAGGGUGCAAGCGUUAAUCGGAAUUACUGGGCGUAAAGCGUGCGCAGGCGGUUCGCUAAGACAGAUGUGAAAUCCCCGGGCUUAACCUGGGAACUGCAUUUGUGACUGGCGGGCUAGAGUAUGGCAGAGGGGGGUAGAAUUCCACGUGUAGCAGUGAAAUGCGUAGAGAUGUGGAGGAAUACCGAUGGCGAAGGCAGCCCCCUGGGCCAAUACUGACGCUCAUGCACGAAAGCGUGGGGAGCAAACAGGAUUA